CAAAUUGACAAGCUCGAGAAAGUUCUGGUGCGAGGACCCUCCCUCUUGGAUGCUUGCACGGGCCGUGGUCUUCAGUGUCACCGCUCUUUCUUUGAUCUCCUUGAGCUGCGCCGCCUUGUUCUUGAUCUCCUCCUGUGUGACAACCCCUUGCUUGUCUCGGAAAAGCUUAAUCAUAAGAACGGGACACCGUGCAGUACACCUUCCAUUGUUGAGUUCCACCCACAGUGCGACAUGAAGCAAGCGAUUGAAGGGUGUGAUAGUACUCGUUGCUGGGGAGCCCAGCUAAUAACCAACCCCUUGCCCUUGAUACGGUCGGACAACCCACAGAAAUGGUUGGUCAGAGACGGCAAGCCCGUUAGCAAGCUCAUGGAACUGAGCUAUGUCAAAGAUGGUGGAGCUCCCAAAGGCCACAUAGAUAACGGAGCCGGGGGCCUGUGUGUCGAGCCAGGCAAGAAAUGGCCUGUUGGCCCCGAAGCAGGUGCUAAAAGUGGGCCGACAGGCAGUGCAUUUGAGAGGAGUUCCAAUGCUUCGGAUUCUAUCUCCCUGAAAGAAUGGUGCAUCCUGCGAUGGAGCCAUACUGCCAUGAAGCAAGUUUUCAUGGGAGGACCCUCCCUCUGCUAUGCUUGUGCAUGCCGCAUGCUUCCACUUUGCUGCCCUCGCCUUGAUCUCCUUGUCGUCAACCAGCUGCUCGACCUUGUUCUUGAUCUCCUCCUUGGUGACAACCCCUCGCUCAUCCGCCUGGAGCUUCACUCCAGUCCCCCACACAUUGCAUAUGUAGCUCUGUACUGGUCGGCGAAGUACGGCCAGCACAGAAACGGCACACCAUGCCGGAGCCCUUCCAUCGUCGAGUUCCACCCGCAGUGCGACACGAAGCAUGCGAUCGACGGGUGCGAGAGCACGCUCUGCUGGGGAGCCCAACCGACGAUCAUUCCCUUGCCGCUGACACGGUGCCUGAACUCCUCCAGCCAGCCUUCGCCGGCACCAUUGGUGAAGUUUUGCCUGAUCACCCACAGGAAUGGCCGGCCAGAAAGCACUAGCCCAUCGGCGAGCUCUUGGACCCGCGCCAUGUCGAAGACGGUGAAGCUCCCAAACGCCACGUAG
rnacentral:lncRNA from 1 species